rnacentral:rRNA from 1 species
CAGUAGCCGCGGUAAUACGUAGGGUGCGAGCGUUAAUCGGAAUUACUGGGCGUAAAGCGUGCGCAGGCGGUUUUGUAAGACAGGCGUGAAAUCCCCGGGCUCAACCUGGGAAUGGCGCUUGUGACUGCAAAGCUAGAGUGCGGCAGAGGGGGGUAGAAUUCCACGUGUAGCAGUGAAAUGCGUAGAGAUGUGGAGGAAUACCGAUGGCGGAGGCAGCCCCCUGGGCCAAUACUGACGCUCAUGCACGAAAGCGUGGGGAGCAAACAGGAUUAGAUACCCCCGUAGUCCCUGUCUCUUAUAC